GGGCGGUUAGCUCAGCUGGUUAGAGCGCCUGCCUUACAAGCAGGAUGUCGGGGGUUCGAGUCCCUCACUGCCCACCA
rnacentral:tRNA from 1 species